rnacentral:rRNA from 1 species
AGUGAACGCUGGCGGUAGGCCUAACACAUGCAAGUCGAACGGCAGCACAGUAAGAUCUUUCUCUUACGGUUGGCGAGUGGCGGACGGGUGAGGAAUACAUCGGAAUCUUCUUUUUCGUGGGGGAUAACGUAAGGAAACUUAUGCUAAUACCUCAUAUGACCUACGGGUGAGUGCAGGGGUUCUUCGGACCUUGCGUGAUUGAAUGAGCCGAUGUCGGAUUAUCUAGUUGGCUGGGUAAAGGCCCACCAAGGCGACGAUCCGUAGCUGGUCUGAGAGGAUGAUCGGCCACACUGUAACUGAGACACGGUCCAGACUCCUACGGGAGGCAGCAGUAGGGAAUAUUGGACAAUGGGCGCAAGCCUGAGCCAGCCAUGCCGCGUGAGUGAAGAAGGCCUUCGGGUUGUAAAGCCCUUUUGUUAGGAAAGAAAAGCAGCGGAUUAAUACCCCGCUGUUCUGACGGUACCCAAAGAGUAAGCACCGGCUAACUUCGUG